UACGGAGGGUGCAAGCGUUAUCCGGAUUUAUUGGGUUUAAAGGGUGCGUAGGCGGCUUUUUAAGUCAGGGGUGAAAGACGGUGGCUCAACCAUCGCAGUGCCUUUGAUACUGAAGAGCUUGAUUAAACUUGAGGUAGGCGGAAUGUGACAAGUAGCGGUGAAAUGCAUAGAUAUGUCACAGAACACCGAUUGCGAAGGCAGCUUACUAAGGUUUCAAUGACGCUGAGGCACGAAAGCGUGGGGAUCAAACAGG
rnacentral:rRNA from 1 species